rnacentral:tRNA from 1 species
GACAGCGUGUCCGAGUGGUUGAGGAGGUGGACUCAGAAGUCCACUAGGCUCAGCCUGCGCAGGUUCGAAUCCUUCCGCUGUCG